UAUAAACUGGACAAGGCGACCUGGCAUCAGAUGGCCAGAUCCAAACGGAACCCACUGGAUAUGUGGAACUAACCUGCGGCCCUGGCUUCCUCCAGGGUGGAUAGGUCGCUGCACCUUAGGAUUUGGCUGGAUUCAUGGACGCAUUACUAAAACCAUCACUACUCCAGCUA